AUAAAGUUCCUUUGGGUAAGAAGUACUACUUGUCAUCAAAAUGGAUAAAAGGAGAUGUAUCUAGACGUAUUUUAGUUCUAGAUACGUCCCUUUUUUAUCCAUUUUGAUGACAAGUAUUUUCGGACAGAGGGAGCUUAUA
rnacentral:pre_miRNA from 1 species